rnacentral:tRNA from 1 species
UAUAUUUUAGUGUUUAUAUGCAUAUAAAAUUUUGAAUUUUAAGGUAUUAAAAAAUUAAUAAAUAUAA